AUUCCAGGCUGUGGAUCCGGUCGUGGGAAGCAGGUGCAGGGGCCUGCAGGGGAGAGACCCGCUGAACUUAAGACUCUGAUCAAACCCCAGACUCGGACCCUGCGCUGCCCAUGGGGCCGACCGUCAAUAUCUGGAUUGGCAAUGGCACCCUAGAGCUCACUAAGUUGACCCUAAAGCCCUUUGGGAGCCAAGGGUGGGGGUGGGGAAGGAAUAACAAAGUAGAAAGUUCCUGGAUUGAGGUGGAAAAAUCAGUUUAACCUCCCUGGGCCUCAUCUACGGAAUGUAAGGGUUGGAUUAUGAUUUCACAGGUCAUAGCAUCCUACUAUUGUUUCUGCCUAAAAUAAGCAGCAAUAAGAAUGAGUGUGAGGAAGACCACAGCAGCAGGACCCACCUGUUUCUGAGGCCUAGGGAGAUGCAGUGAUAGAUUUCAGCUUAUUCCUCAUUCUCAGGUUUCUGUACCUUGACCCUCCAUAGAGUGAACUUCUAGGUUCUGAGCUGACUCCUUGGAAACCCUAGACUCCAGGGACGCGCUUCUAGAACCUGCUCAGAUUGCUACUCAGUUAACAGCCUGGCCCAGGAGGAUUGCAACACCCAGCCUGGCUCCCAGGCAAGCUAAAGAGGGCUUGAUGAUGGGAAGAGGUUAAGGGGUACGUGGAGAGAAAGAAGGAUCAGAAGGCGGAAACAUCAUAGACCUCCUGGGAUGCCUUCUGCAGGAUCACAGAGAAGGCAAAAUUUGUCCUCCUGACUACAAGAUGCCAAGAUACAUUUGUAUCGAGCCACUGAAUUCUCUACCCCUUCUGUAGAGGUGGUUGGGGAAGAGCUGCAGUAGGAAGCUGGGUCCCAAGUAAUGAAGGACCUUUAGAAGCAGAAGGUGUUAGGGUGGGGGCAAAGGACUGAACUCUGACCAACCAGAAGAAAGGAAAAACUGGAGUUCCUUUCCCCUAGGUCUGCCUUUCUUUCUCAGGGUCUCUAUUUACUUCUCAUGCACUUGACUCUCUGCUUCCCUCUCCCUCAUUUCCACAAAGGGGCCCAAGCUUCACAUGCAUCUCGCACCCCCGCACCUUGUGGGCAGGAAAUCUGAGCACAGGCAUUUCCUGUACGCUGAUAAAUGCCCACUGCAAAGAGCCCCAGCCUGAAGGUGGCCCUGUCUCCUAGUUAUGUCCCUCCACAUCCUUAUCUCCCCAGGCUCCAGCCCUCACCAGCAGGGACUCAACAAACGCCAUCUGUCAGAUGAGUCAUGGGACCAGAAGCUUGGGAGAAGACAUGCAGAGCCAACCACUAACAAAACUGGCAAAUGAAAUAAAUGCCCAGAAACCUGCUCCAUCCCCAGCAUUCCUUAAGUCCUAUAAAUUGCACCACCUUUUACCAGUUUUCAGAAACUAAAAGUCAUCCUUGACAUCCGUCCAAUCAAUCACCUCCUAUUUAUCUCCCAAAUUCAUUCUUUUUUCUUUUUGAAACAGAGUUUUUACUCUUGUUGCCCAGGCUGAAGUGCAAUGGCACGAUCUCAGCUCCCUGCAACCUCCGCCUCCCAGGUUCAAGCCAUUCUCCUGCCUCAGCUUUCCUGAGUAGCUGGGAUUACAGGCAUGCGCCACUACGCCUGGCUAAUGUUGUAUUUUUAGUAGAGAUGGGGUUUCUCCAUGUUGGUCAGGCUGGUCUUGAAUUCCCAACCUGAGGUGAUCCACCCACCUUGGCCUCCCAAAGUGCUGGGACUACAGGUGUGAGCCAUUACACCCGGCAAAUUCAUUUUUAUAAUCUUGCCACCCCCACAACCACUGCCCUCAUGGACCCUGGGCACGCCUCACCCGAAUUACAGAAAUUCCCUCCCAGCUGGUAAAACUGUUUGUGUGUGGCUCUCCUUCAUUCCAUCCUCCCUGGUUUAGCCAGAGAAAUAAUUCUAAAAUGUACACAUCCCAAAGCAUCUCAUUUUCCUGCAUGCAGUCUUUCAUCAUCCAUUCACUAACUGGAGGACAACAUCUGAAUUUAUUAGUGAGCAUACAAAGGCUUUUCAUCCGCUGAACCCAGCGCAUCUGCUACCAUUUCCCUGGUCUCCGGUCAGAACUAGUGACUGUCCCAUAAACAGGUUCUGCUGGACUUCCAGUCAAGAUGGAGCGGUGAGUUCUCUGUUCCAACCACAAACCAGCAGUAAAUAAAACAUUUUCGCAUAUAACCCAACACACACAGUUGGGCUGAAAAACAAGGCAAGCUUUCUGUGAACCAGAAGCAAGAACAGAGCCCAAAAUCACUAAAUGGGGCUGUGACUGACAUGCUGCUGGGCUCUGAGUCCCAAAGGGUUUUAGAGAAGCCAGGAGCCCAGUUACCUUAGAAAGGGCAGUGACUAAGAUGAACACCAGGGGUCUUCUGGAGGCCAAGAAUGUUCUUUUUGUGCUCUGGGGGUUUAUUACACAGGAGCAUUCACUUUGUGAAAACUCAUUGAGGUGCCCCUUUACGAUUCAUGUGCGUUUCUGUAUAUCUGUUAUAUUUCAAUAGAAAUGUUUACUUGAAAAACUUUGUCCUGGGAGAAAGCCCAGAGGAAGACCCUACUUUUAGAUGCUGGAGACCAGGGUAGGGUGAGGUAAAGUGGGGUGGAAAUAGAGCACAGCCUCAAAGUGAGGACCCAUGCCAAGCCACCCACAGCUCCUCAUCUGGAUUGGCAUCAUUCUGGCACAGAAUAAGGAACCAUGAAAUAACACGUAAGAGCUGGCGCUGGAACAGCGGCUUAGGAAAAUGGGUGGAGGCAACCACAAAACUAUAAACUGUGCAUUCAGGAAGAGAAGAAAAAAAGACAAAAACAAAACAAAUCAAAGGGGGAAAACUGCCACUAGAAAUGGAUCUGCAAAUCAAAAUUCCAAAACACAUUUUAACAAUGAAAA
rnacentral:lncRNA from 1 species